UACAGAGGGGGCAAGCGUUGUUCGGAAUUACUGGGCGUAAAGGGCGCGUAGGCGGCCUUCUAAGUCGAACGUGAAAUCCCCGGGCUCAACCCGGGAACUGCGUCCGAUACUGGAAGGCUUGAAUCCGGGAGAGGGAUGUGGAAUUCCACGUGUAGCAGUGAAAUGCGUAGAUAUGUGGAGGAACACCGAUGGCGAAGGCAGCCCCCUGGGAUGUGACUGACGCUCAUGUACGAAAGCGUGGGGAGCAAACAGG
rnacentral:rRNA from 1 species